UGUGCCAGCAGCCGCGGUAAUACAGAGGGUGCAAGCGUUAAUCGGAUUUACUGGGCGUAAAGCGCGCGUAGGUGGCCAAUUAAGUCAAAUGCGAAAUCCCCGAGCUUAACUUGGGAAUUGCAUUCGAUACUGGUUGGCUAGAGUAUGGGAGAGGAUGGUAGAAUUCCAGGUGUAGCGGUGAAAUGCGUAGAGAUCUGGAGGAAUACCGAUGGCGAAGGCAGCCAUCUGGCCUAAUACUGACACUGAGGUGCGAAAGCAUGGGGAGCAAACAGGAUUAGAUACCCUGGUAGUCCAUGCCGUAAACGAUGU
rnacentral:rRNA from 1 species